AGGGUUUGAUCAUGGCUCAGGACGAACGCUGGCGGCGUGCCUAACACAUGCAAGUCGAACGGGGCUUAGGGAGCUUGCUCCCAAAAGCCUAGUGGCGGACGGGUGAGUAACGCGUGAGCAACCUGCCUCUCAGAGGGGAAUAACGUUUGGAAACGAACGCUAAUACCGCAUAACAUUGUUUUGUCGCAUGGCAGAGCAAUCAAAGGAGCAAUCCGCUGAGAGAUGGGCUCGCGUCCGAUUAGCUAGAUGGCGGGGUAGAGGCCCACCAUGGCGACGAUCGGUAGCCGGACUGAGAGGUUGAACGGCCACAUUGGGACUGAGACACGGCCCAG
rnacentral:rRNA from 1 species